UAGCUCAGCUUGGAAGAGCACCUGGUUUGCAACCAGGUGGCCGGGGGUUCAAAUCCCCCA
rnacentral:tRNA from 1 species